rnacentral:tRNA from 3 species
UGAGCUAUGGUGUAAUGGUAGCACAACAGAUUCUGAAUCUGUUUGUCUUGGUUCGAGUCCAGGUAGCUCAA